rnacentral:lncRNA from 1 species
AACACCUCUCUGUUUUGUUUUUGUCUCGUGAUUAAUGAAAAAGGCAGUUUAUUUGAAUUGAUGAUAAAAAAUUGACAACCCAAGGGUCCACUGCCAUGUUUGAAGAAUUAAUGAUGAACAAAUAUAUUAAUGUCAUGAUAAUGUACUAUUUUUCUGAACUAUAGAAAACAGUUCGCUAUAUUUUUCUUUAUCUCAACAUAUUUCUAACAAUAUGAAAAAUUCCUUCAAGUGCCAUAUUCUUGUCUGUGAUAUUUAGGAAUAGAGUUUGAAAAUCUUAACAACUUAAAUUUAAAAGAACCCACGAAUCCGUUGGUAUAUGACCAGAUGGUGGCCACAUGAACACCUAGUUGUGGGUACAGCACCGUGCUGUGAACUUGGACAAAGUACUGUGACUAUGUGUCCCAAUCCACCCAGCUAUGAAUAUAUAAAAAAAUAUCAAAAAUAUCUGACAGCUUUCCUUAUGAAGACUUGAAGAAAUAAUGUUUUAUGUUGACAUGGUCAAGUGCGUGGAGUGUACCGUUUUUAUAUUUUGCAGCAGAAGAUUGCUGUCAUUUCUUUUGCCUCAGCUUUAACAUUAAUAAUGAACAGUGCUUAAUACAUGUUUACAAGCGAUUCUUGCCCUCAUUGCUGGCCAUAAAUUUACAUUUCUAGGUCAGUUUAUACUUCAAUGCUUAAAACAUAAAUGAGGAAUGUUUCAAAAGAAGAAGGGAUGAGAAAAAAAUGUUCAGCUUCUGUCAUAGAAAAGAUUGCAUGUUAUGAAUGAAACAAAUACUUUGUAUCCAUCAAAUUGUUCAAGUUACCCAUAAUUUUUAAUGGUGGGUCGCUGUUAUGUUACUUCAGUUGGAUAAAAAGCAAUACAGCAUGUGAACUGUUGAAAGGGUAGCCAAGAGUGUUGCUGACACCAGAAGGGACAGCUAGCGUAGUCAAUGAUCAUAAUGUUAACUCAAGAUUGUAGCAUUUCUCAUGUUUUACCAUCACUAUAGAUGUAUUUUUUCACAUUUACGGGGGUUGUGUGUUUUCAAACAUACCAGAAUCUACAACGAUGAUAUUAGGAUAUAUGUUACACAAUGAAGCAUUAUUUUACAUAUAACCAGUGUUACAGGUUUGUAUGUGUGAUGUGCAUGUGGUGGGAAUCUGGUCUUGGGAUGCAGCUGACCUAGAUAACAUUGAUGUACAUGUAGAUGGUAUAUGUCCAAAUUGCAGAUGAAGAUAGUCAUGGUUGAUGUCUUGGUAUUGAUAAUUCUGUAGCGUGUUUGCACUGGUUUGUAACACAUUAGAAACGCCAGAUUUCAAGUUGAUGGAAUAUAUAAUUAUUCUGUGAUGACUAUUUUCAUAAUUUUCUGAAGUGAUAACAGUAUAAUAUUACCAUGAAGCACCCUUGGAACCAACAGUUCCACUGAAGUAUCACAUGUCAAACUCUUCCAGUACACAGUAUAUCAGAUGCAUGUAAUCAGUAGCCAUGGAUGAAUUAAUUUUAGUUUUGCAAGACUGUCAAGAUUUUAAUUGACUUACAGUUCCUAAAAAUGUUUUUAGGUAAAAUCUGACAAAAGUUUUAAUAACUGGUUUGACACAAUUAAAAUAUCAAUGUAAGAUAAUAUUUAGUCUCGAGGAUUUGUUGAAACAGAUUUAAAAAAUUCCCCACAGUUGUGAUGAUAAUUAUAGGAAUGAAAACAAUGCAUUUAUAUAUUUGACUGAGGCCAUGCAAUUUACUCAACAUUGUAAAACAUCAAACCAUCUAAAACAAACGAAUUUACUCAAAGACAAAAUAUUUCUGAUCAACAUCUAUUGUUUUCAAUUACCUCACAUAUGUAGUAUGAAGUGUUUCUAUAUGGAAUCUGUGUGUCAUGGUGUCUUGUUAGUGUCUAGUUGUUAUUCUGGAGGGAUGGCACCGGGGAGGUGUUUUUCUCAAGCAGUACUGUGAACUCGUGGUCUUUGUACUGCUUUUAGUAUUUUAGCAGUAUUGAAUUUUUGGAUUCAAACUUGGUUUUCUUCAUGUUAUCAAGUCACACUAACAAGAGGCCUACCCAGUAACUUUAAUAUGCUGUUUAUAAAAGCAUUGCCUCUGCAUGUUGUAAAGUAAGACCAUUUUCAAAGCAAUAUUAUGAUAUUCUAACAUAUAUUUAUGUUUUGUUUGUCUUUUAGGAUUUCAUUUCUUUUUGCAUUAGUUUUUAAUGAUUAAUUGUUCUAGUGCUAUGGUAAAGAUCUAUCUUCCCAGAACACUUUUCUCAAGGACUCAUGUUGCAUAACCGGUAUCAAAUAGUGGUAUUUAUAAUCUGAUAUCUGUAAUACACACUCUGAAACUGUUUGGGAUAUAAUUUGAGUUUUUUAUUGUCCUUAUUAAUGUGCAGUUUACCAUGUUUUACCUAAGGGAUCAUGUCAAAACUUCAGUGAAGCCAAAAGGUUAAUUCUGUUUUGUUUAUUAACAUAAUUACUGUAUCAUUAUUUAAGCUUAUAAACUGCUUUUUACUUUUC